ACGGUUGUGAUGAAAUUGGUUAGACAUUUAGUGCUUAGGACACUAUGAUUGAAAUAUCGUAUCGGUUCAAAUCCGAUCAACCGUA